rnacentral:sRNA from 1 species
GUCUCUCCUCCUCACAGAAGCCUGGAGCUGGGCAUCCAAGAAGAAGCAGCCUCAUUUGUUUUCUGGUGUCAUCGUAGGUGGCCACCUAUGGCUUUUGGGCUUCUCACCUGGGGCGGGUGGGUUCUGCACCACCCUCCCACCCUCCUUCCUCCGUGUGGACGAUAGAGCCACAUCCAGCACCACGGACAGCUCCCGGGCGAUCCCAUGGGAGUAGAAGAGGUGUGAGCAGGUUGCCCAGCUGGUUAGCGGAAAUGCCAAGAUCCAGGCUCCUGAAUUUCAGCCUGGCCCUUUCUAUCUGUCUGAUACCUCCUUUACGAGUCUCUCUGCCUGGGUUGUGUGGAGCGGACCUGCUGCUGGUUGGGGGAGUUUGCAGGUUGCCCCUAUGCAAAAAAGGACAGGAUGCAUGACUGGCAUCCUUCGUCUCCUCGUCCUCCAGGCAGCACAAGCCAUUGUGGAAUCUCCACCGGGUGUACAGAACGGUGCCUCUGCGUCCUGCCACUCAGGACCUCUCAAGUCCCCGAUGUGAUGGCUCCUCA